rnacentral:rRNA from 1 species
AUACGGAGGGUGCAAGCGUUAUUCGGAUUUAUUGGGCGUAAAGGGCGCGCAGGCUGCUUUUUAAGUCAGAUGUGAAAGCCCGGGGCUCAACCCCGGAAGUGCAUUUGAAACUGGAAGGCUUGAGUAUGGGAGAGGGAAGUGGAAUUCCUGGUGUAGAGGUGAAAUUCGUAGAUAUCAGGAGGAACACCGGCGGCGAAGGCGACUUCCUGGACCAAUACUGACGCUGAGGCGCGAAGGCGUGGGUAGCAAACAGGAUUAGAAACCCUAGUAGUCC